rnacentral:rRNA from 1 species
CACGUAGGGACCAAGCGUUGUCCGGAUUCAUUGGGCGUAAAGAGCUCGUAGGCGGUUUUCCAAGUCGGGCGUGAAAGCCCCGGGCUCAACCCGGGAAAUGCGCUCGAAACUUGAAGACUGGAGGCCGGAAGAGGGUAGUGGAAUUCCCAGUGUAGAGGUGAAAUUCGUAGAUAUUGGGAAGAACACCAGUGGCGAAGGCGGCUACCUGGUCCGGAUCUGACGCUGAGGCGCGAAAGCGUGGGGAGCAAACAGG